AGUGAACGCUGGCGGUAGGCCUAACACAUGCAAGUCGAACGGCAGCACAGUAAGAGCUUGCUCUUACGGGUGGCGAGUGGCGGACGGGUGAGGAAUACAUCGGAAUCUACUUUUUCGUGGGGGAUAACGUAGGGAAACUUACGCUCAUACCGCAUACGACCUACGGGUGAAAGCAGGGGAUCUUCGGACCUUGCGCGAUUGAAUGAGCCGAUGUCGGAUUAGCUAGUUGGCGGGGUAAAGGCCCACCAAGGCGACGAUCCGUAGCUGGUCUGAGAGGAUGAUCAGCCACACUGGAACUGAGACACGGUCCAGACUCCUACGGGAGGCAGCAGUGGGGAAUAUUGGACAAUGGGCGCGAGCCUGAUCCAGCCAUACCGCGUGGGUGAAGAAGGCCUUCGGGUUGUAAAGCCCUUUUGUUGGGAAAGAAAAGCAGCAGGUUAAUACCCCGCUGUUCUGACGGUACCCAAAGAAUAAGCACCGGCUAACUUCGUG
rnacentral:rRNA from 1 species